UUACAUGACAUAAAGAGAGGUACGAUGUAGGGGAAGUGCAACUAAACUUAAAUGACAUAAAGAGAGGUACGAUGUAGGGGAAGUGCAACUAAACUUAAAUGACAUAAAGAGAGGUACGAUGUAGGGGAAGUGCAACUAAACUUAAAUGACAUAAAGAGAGGUACGAUGUAG